CGGCACUAGCGCGGUGGUCCCACCUGACCCCAUGCCGAACUCAGAAGUGAAACGCCGUAGCGCCGAUGGUAGUGUGGGGUCUCCCCAUGCGAGAGUAGGGAACUGCCAGAC
rnacentral:rRNA from 1 species